rfam:Marinobacterium sp. ST58-10, complete genome.
CACUCCCUGGGGUGUUCGACAGGCGUUCAAGUCCCUCGAGCCGAUAAGUACACCCCUGGAGGCCUUCUGUGAUGCUGGUGAGCAUGUCCGUUUAGCGGAAAGCCUGAUGCAUUCGAAGGCCCCCACCUUGAACCUUAGGGUUCAGGGCCACGAUCGUUACCGGCACUCCCGGGGAGCCC